rnacentral:rRNA from 1 species
CCCCAGACUCCUACGGGAGGCAGCAGUGGGGAAUAUUGCACAAUGGGGGAAACCCUGAUGCAGCGACGCCGCGUGAAGGAUGAAGUAUUUCGGUAUGUAAACUUCUAUCAGCAGGGAAGAAAAUGACGGUACCUGACUAAGAAGCCCCGGCUAACUACGUGCCAGCAGCCGCGGUAAUACGUAGGGGGCAAGCGUUAUCCGGAUUUACUGGGUGUAAAGGGAGCGUAGACGGCAUGGCAAGUCUGAUGUGAAAACCCGGGGCUCAACCCCGGGACUGCAUUGGAAACUGUCAGGCUGGAGUGUCGGAGAGGCAAGUGGAAUUCCUAGUGUAGCGGUGAAAUGCGUAGAUAUUAGGAGGAACACCAGUGGCGAAGGCGGCUUACUGGACGGUAACUGACGCUGAGGCUCGAAAGCGUGGGGAGCAAACAGGAUUAGAUACCCUUGUA